rnacentral:rRNA from 1 species
AUUGAACGCUGGCGGCAUGCCUUACACAUGCAAGUCGAACGGUAACGCGGGGCAACCUGGCGACGAGUGGCGAACGGGUGAGUAAUGCAUCGGAACGUGUCCAGUAGUGGGGGAUAGCCCGGCGAAAGCCGGAUUAAUACCGCAUACGACCUAUGGGUGAAAGCGGGGGACCGUAAGGCCUCGCGCUAUUGGAGCGGCCGAUGUCAGAUUAGGUUGUUGGUGGGGUAAAAGCCUACCAAGCCGACGAUCUGUAGCUGGUCUGAGAGGACGACCAGCCACACUGGGACUGAGACACGGCCCAGACUCCUACGGGAGGCAGCAGUGGGGAAUUUUGGACAAUGGGCGAAAGCCUGAUCCAGCCAUGCCGCGUGCGGGAAGAAGGCCUCCGGGUUGUAAACCGCUUUUGUCGGGGAAGAAAUCUUCUGGGUUAAUACCCUGGGGGGAUGACGGUACCGUAAGAAGAAGCACCGGCUAACUACGUGCCAGCAGCCGCGGUAA